AACGAACGCUGGCGGCAUGCCUAACACAUGCGAGUCGAACGAGACCUUCGGGUCUAGUGGCGCACGGGUGCGUAACGCGUGGGAACCUGCCCUUAGGUUCGGAAUAACUCCCCGAAAGGGGUGCUAAUACCGGAUAAUGUCUUCGGACCAAAGAUUUAUCGCCUUUGGAUGGGCCCGCGUUGGAUUAGCUAGUUGGUAGGGUAAAAGCCUACCAAGGCGACGAUCCAUAGCUGGUCUGAGAGGAUGAUCAGCCACACUGGGACUGAGACACGGCCCAGACUCCUACGGGAGGCAGCAGUGGGGAAUAUUGGACAAUGGGCGAAAGCCUGAUCCAGCAAUGCCGCGUGAGUGAUGAAGGCCUUAGGGUUGUAAAGCUCUUUUAACCGGGAUGAUAAUGACAGUACCGGGAGAAUAAGCUCCGGCUAACUCCGUG
rnacentral:rRNA from 1 species